rnacentral:misc_RNA from 1 species
GCCCAAUUGACAUUUUCCCCAUUAUAAUUCUUGCAACUCUCUCCCUCUCCUCAUUCAUCUUCAAUUUUUCCCUGUAGGCGGAUGCAUUUCUCACUGUUGCUCCCAUUUGGUGCAGCCUGUUCACUUGCUGCAAACUCAGUGCAGUGUUUGCCUCAAGAAAUUCUGCUCCAAUUUCCAGUUCUGAUUCUUGGCCCAAAAUGAUACUCCUUCCUGAGUUGUACAUGUUUCUUGCAAUUGAGAAACUUCUGACAAUGGUUUUUCGUUUUGUCUCCAAUUCUUUGUUGAGUUUGGGAGCUUUAUGUAUGCAUGUAGAGCAAUUAAGCCUUUUCUCAUAAGCAAUCACAGCCUUCACAAACUCCUUGUAUGCAGCUGGGCAUCCAGGAUAGUCGAAAUCAUCUGAAUCUUGGUGGCGCAUCCUCUCUGGAUGAAAUUGGAGUCCCAUUAUAAACUUGCCCUCUUCAGGAUUAUAGGCAUCAGGAUCAUAAAAUCCUUCAAUCAGGCCAUCAGGAGCAAAAGCCAUUGGCACGAAUCUUUGAGCUAAUUUCUUGACACCUUGGUGGUGAUAACUAUUAACCAUGAUUUCCAUUUUCUUUUCCUCCAAUGAAUCUUUAAACCAUUGGUGCAAAGGAGUGUUUUCCACAACCUUCACUGGAUGCCUGUGACCAUCAUAAUCCUCAUAGUUCAUGUGCAUCACUCUUUCUUCUUCUGGGAUUUUCUUGGAGAGUUCUUUCUCCACAUCUUGAUAUAAAGUUCCUCCACAUGCAACAUUAAGGACCUGUGACCCUCUGCAGAUUCCAAAGUAUGGUAUGUUUCUUUCAAGGCACAGCUUUGCAAGUCUUAAUUCAAUUGUGUCUUUCUCUCUAUCAAUGGUGGUGUCACUUGCAUGCGCUUUUCUAAUCUCUUCAAGUUCUUCUGGUGAAAACCCAGAUAGUUCUGCAUCGUAUAGAGAUGGAUCAAUAUCUUCACCUUCACAGAGGACGACACCAUGGAUAGGCUCGAAGCUUUCCAAUAGCAUGUGGACUCCACUUACUCUAGGGACUAUCACUGGCACUGCUCCAUAGUUUACAAUAAGAUCUAGAUGGAAUUCUCCCACAAAAUCUACAAACUUGUUCUUGCGAACGGUUCGCCUGGAGACGAUGAGAACCCUUGGAAGGAUCAUUGAAAGAUCUGAAUUAUUAGCCAUGGCAGUCGACAUUUAGGAGCUGUAUUUAUAUGUAUAUGCUUUUGUAGGCUUCAAACAAAGCGUGGAAGCUUUAACUCUG